GGCUGUAUAGUCUAGUCGUAUGAUACUCGCUUUGGGCAUUACCACGUGGUGCUUGCGAGAGGUCCCGAGUUCAAUUCUCGGUGCAGCCC